rnacentral:tRNA from 1 species
GAGGGUAUAGCUCAAGUGGUAGAGCAUGUGCUUAGCACGCACGAGGUCCUGGGUUCAAUCCCCAGUACCUCCA